rnacentral:rRNA from 1 species
GACGAACGCUGGCGGCGUGCUUAACACAUGCAAGUCGAACGGAAAGGCCCCCUUGUGGGGUACUCGAGUGGCGAAUGGGUGAGUAACACGUGAGUAACCUACCCUUGACUUUGGGAUAACUUCAGGAAACUGGGGCUAAUACCGGAUAGGAGCUCCUGCUGCAUGGUGGGGGUUGGAAAGUUUCGGCGGUUGGGGAUGGGCUCGCGGCUUAUCAGCUUGUUGGUGGGGUAGUGGCUCACCAAGGCUUUGACGGGUAGCCGGCCUGAGAGGGUGACCGGCCACAUUGGGACUGAGAUACGGCCCAGACUCCUACGGGAGGCAGCAGUGGGGAAUAUUGCACAAUGGGCGGAAGCCUGAUGCAGCAACGCCGCGUGCGGGAUGACGGCCUUCGGGUUGUAAACCGCUUUCGCCUGUGACGAAGCGUGAGUGACGGUAAUGGGUAAAGAAGCACCGGCUAACUACGUG